ACAAAAUUUCUUAUGUUCACAUAUACUGCAGCACGAAUAUAUAUAUAUACACUUUGUAGUAUCAGUUUAUGGGCGAAAAAUAUUUCUUGGUACCUUUUGAGCAUCAAAUAAAAAUUAAAGUUAAUUAACCGAAUCAAUUAUUCAAGCUCGGGGUUUACUAGCGUUAUUUUGAAGCUUCACAGAAGGGCUUUUUAGCGUUGGCGUCCAGGAUUUUGGGAAAGGAGGAGUGAUGGACUUCCAGUGGCUAAUUCUUUUGAUAUUCGUAUUGUUGAUGGACUGGCAACUCAAGCUAACACGGACUGUGGUGUAUAUGUUGAAGCCUUUGCUAAGUAUUUGCUUGAUGGUCUUGAAAUUUCUAAUCAUCUAGAGUACAUUGAUGUUAUUCGUAUUCAGUAUGGUGUGUUGUUGUGGGAUUAGCAGCAUCCUAUUAGAUUCUUGUUGGAGCAUUUCCACAUGUUCUUCGAUUGUAUCCUAUUUUUCCACAGCGCUCACAUGAAAUUUGUUGCUUAAAGUAGUCCAUAAUGCCCUUCCCCGAUUGUUAUAUUUUGGUUUUCCUGAUUUUGGUUUCCAGAUUGGUGGUAGUACUAUAUUAGCUGAUAUAUCUGGUGGGAUAUUCCAAACUGUUUCAUCAGGAAGUGGUAUAACUGGAAGUUCAUAUGCUUUUAAGAAGUUUUCUCUUGUGUAAUAUGGAGCACAAUAGCUUUGUAAGUCCAUAUGCAUGUAAGUUAACACCGCCAUAGCAUGUGGACAAGGUAUGUCAUCUACUUGAAAUUGUAGGCAGGAGCAUUUUUUUACGCAUGCAAAUAAUAUUUCAUUUUUAAUUUCAUCAAUAACUACAUAAGAAUAGUGAGUAGAACCCAUCACCUCCAAUGUACAAAUAUAUUAGUAAAUAAUGUGCAUAUUAGAAUAUGUAAGUGUCUGUGAAGUAGAAAUAAG